rnacentral:rRNA from 1 species
GAUGAACGCUAGCGGCAGGCUUAAUACAUGCAAGUCGAGCGGAAGUUGGAGAGCUUGCUCUUCAACUUUAGCGGCGGACGGGUGAGUAACACGUGGGCAACCUGCCCUGCAGAUCGGGAUAACUCCGGGAAACUGGUGCUAAUACCGAAUAGUUUUCGCCACCUCCUGGUGGCGUACGGAAAGACGGUUUCGGCUGUCACUGCAGGAUGGGCCCGCGGCGCAUUAGCUAGUUGGUGGGGUAACGGCCCACCAAGGCGACGAUGCGUAGCCGACCUGAGAGGGUGAUCGGCCACACUGGGACUGAGACACGGCCCAGACUCCUACGGGAGGCAGCAGUAGGGAAUCUUCCGCAAUGGACGAAAGUCUGACGGAGCAACGCCGCGUGAGUGACGAAGGUUUUCGGAUCGUAAAACUCUGUUGUGAGGGAAGAACAAGUACCACUUAACUACUGGUACCUUGACGGUACCUCACCAGAAAGCCACGGCUAACUACGUGCCAGCAGCCGCCGUAAGAC